UACGUAGGGGGCGAGCGUUGUCCGGAUUUAUUGGGCGUAAAGGGUUCGCAGGUGGCCUUUUAAGUCAGAUGUGAAAGAUCACAGCUCAACUGUGGUAAGCAUUUGAAACUGAAAGGCUUGAGUUAAGGAGAGGAAAGUGGAAUUCCUAGUGUAGCGGUGAAAUGCGUAGAUAUUAGGAGGAAUACCAGUGGUGAAGGCGACUUUCUGGACUUAUACUGACACUGAGGAACGAAAGCGUGGGGGGCAAACGGG
rnacentral:rRNA from 1 species